UACGAAGGGUGCUAGCGUUGUUCGGAAUUACUGGGCGUAAAGCGCGCGUAGGCGGCUUAACAAGUCAGGGGUGAAAUCCUGGAGCUCAACUCCAGAAUUGCCUUUGAAACUGUUAGCUUGAGUGUCGGAGGGGAUAGCGGAAUUGCUAAUGUAGAGGUGAAAUUCGUAGAUAUUAGCAGGAACACCGGUGGCGAAGGCGGCUAUCUGGACGACAACUGACGCUGAGGCGCGAAAGCGUGGGGAGCAAACAGGG
rnacentral:rRNA from 1 species